UUAUUUAUUUUAUUAUAUUUAUUUUUUGUUUAUUUAAUUAUUUAAUAAAAAUAAUUUUAUUGAAUUUUGUCUUAGUAUAUUUUGUAGAAUUGAUUUUUUAAAUUAUAGUUUAUUGGUAAUGUAAUUGUUUUAUGAAAUAUUAUUUUAAAUUUUUAAAAGUAUAUUUUAUUUAUUGUACCUUUUGUAUCAGGGUUUAUCAAAAUUUUAGUAUUUAAUUUACUUGUCUCGAUUUGGGUUGAUUUAUAAAUAAUUUAUAGUUAAUGUAUCAUAAUUAUUAUUAAAUUAUUUAUGGAAAUGAAAUGUUAAUCGUUUCCCAAGAUAUCUAGUUUCUUAAGAAAAAUUUUAAUUUUUUAAAGUUAAUUGUUUUUAUUUAAUUUUUUAAUUAUAAAUAUUAACUUAUUUAUUCUUUAAGGGAUAAGCUUUGAAGUUAAUAACCUAUAAUUUGUUUUAUAAAAUAUAAUAGUAAGCUUUAAAUCAGCUAUCUUUAAGAUUACGUUUUAGUUCAUUAUUUUCUAUUUUGAUUUUAUAAUUAUUUUAGGUUUUUUAUUAAGAUUAUUUAUUUAAUUUUAAAAUUUUUGUAAUAAUGAUAGAAUUAGUAUAUUUACUUGUAUAUAAUUUUUACCUUGUGAAUUUAUAAUAAGGAAUUAGGCAAAAUUGAUUUCCSCCUGUUUAUCAAAAACAUGUCCUCUUGAAAAUACUUUGAGGUCUGGCCUGCUCACUGAGCGGAUUUUUAAAGAGCCGCGGUAUUUUGACCGUGCAAAGGUAGCAUAAUCAUUAGUCUCUUAAUUAGUGGCUGGAAUGAAUGGCUUGACGAGAAAUCAACUGUCUCUUAAUAAAUUUUUGAAUUAAC
rnacentral:rRNA from 1 species